rnacentral:lncRNA from 1 species
CGGGGCUCAGCCUGCACUUGCAUCAUGGGUGCAGCAGCAGCUGCCCCGAUCCUUUGUGCCUUUUUCCCCCUAUUGAGUAACUGCUUUGUUAACUGAAAAUACCAUGACGGACCAGUGUGAUCACCAGUUCCAGACCUCAAAGAAAGUGAAGCUGUCAGACUAAAAGGAGCUGAGACGAAAGGAUGGACUAUCUAGAGACUGCCAUACCCGGGGAUCCAUCCCAUAAUCAGCCUCCAAACGCUGACACCAUUGCAUACAACCAGCAAGAUUUUGCUGAAAGGACCCUGAUAUAGCUGUCUCUUGUGAGGCAAACACAGAAGUGGAUGC